UGCAUGUGCAACCUACACCACACCUCAUGGCAAUGCCAGCUCCCCGACCCACUGAGUGUGGCAGGGAUCGAACUCGCAUCCUCGUGGAUACUAGCCAGGUUCGUUUCUCUUGCGCCACAACGGGAACUCCAGUUAGGCUUUAACCUGAACCUUUUCCCUUUUAGUCCUGAUUGCUGUGUAAAUUAUAAAAAUCCUGGCCUGCCCGUAAGGUUAGAUUUGUCCUAAGGACAAACCAAUCACCCAUUACUACUAAAUUCCCCAAAUAAUCAUCAGUUUGAAACAACAUCUAGAGAAUAAGUUAAUAUAUUUAUUUAGUUGUUGACCAUGGUGAAAAUUAAGCAAAUGAAAAUUUAUCCAUGGGUAUACCUUGAACUUACCCUAAAUGUAAGAUGAUCUCUUUGUCUUAUUUCAACCCCAAAAUGAAAUUUGUUAAAAGCACUCAUUUUAAUCAAAAUGAUGAGGGAUCUACUCUGUCUUUUGGUACCUUAAUGCACUGCUCUAUUCUUUUCUACCUCCCACCCUCAUACCCUUUCAAUAUUUUUAUUUUUGCAGCAUAUGGAGGUUCCCAGGCUAGGGGUCUAAUCGGAGCUGUAGCCACUGGCCUACGCCAGAGCCACAGCAACACAGGCUCCGAGCCGUCUUUGACCUACACCACAGCUCACAGCAGUGCUGGAUCCUUAAACCACUGAGUGAGGCCAUGGAUUGAACCUAAAACCUCAUGGUUACUAGUCAGAUUUGUUUCUGCUGCACCACAACAGGAGCUCCUAAAAAAAAUUUUUGUAACCCGAACCACCGGAAUUGAGGUUAUUCCUCUCCUUGAUUCAUGACACACUCUUCACAUUGUUCUUGCAAAGCCCCUCUUUCAUUUCAUUUUCUUAUCUCUUCCUUCAGCUCCUCUUCACUUUCCUUCCCUCCCAUAUACAACUACAUAUGUCUUUCCAGUCAACCUUUUAUGUAUGUAUUUGGCAAUGUGGAUAUCGAAAAAAUAUAUGUGGAAAAAAUAUAUAGUGUUUUUUAAAUUUAUAUAAUUUGCAUUAUUCUAUACAUCUCAUUCUGUUUUUCUAAUUUUCAUUUGAGUCGGAAAAAAAAAUACAUAAAUCUAGUUCAUUACUUUUGACUGCUACAAGGUAUUCCAUCAAGGGCACAUAUCACAUUAUCCCGUCAAAUUUCUCUCGGAAUGAAAACCUAAGUUGCCCGCAACUCCCUGUCACUGCAAAUAAUACUGCAGUAGAUUUUGUCAUAUAUGUCUUCUAUGGACACAUAUGUAUAAGGCCAUUUCCUGGAUAGUCCUAAAUAAUUCAUGCCCUAUGUAAUCCUUUCCCAAAUUGUAUCGGGUCUCACCUGUGUGACCAACAUAAUAUGGCAUUGUGAUAUGUGAAUUCUCAGACUGGGUCAUAAAUACAUAGCUGCUUCCACCUUGUUCUCUUGGAUAACUUGCUCCUGGUAAAGCCAACCAUAGUGUUGUGAGAACAAUGUAGCAGCCCUAUGGCACAGCCAACAGCUAGCCUCACUUGCAAGCCAUGUGAUAAAGGCAUCUUAGAAGUGGAUCCUUCAGUUGAAGCUAAACAGGUGACAGGAGCCCCGGCCAGCAUCUGGACUGCAGCUUCACGAGAGACCCUGAGGCCCUCCUGAAUUCUUGACACAUGGAAAAUAUGAGAUAAUAAAUGUUUAUUGUUGUUUCAAGCCACUCAGUUUUGAGUAAUUUGUUACACAGCCAUAGAUAACUAACAGACUGUGAUAAGUUUCUUUAGGAUCUAUACGUAAGGAGAUCUACCCCUCCCCACCCAAGCUGUUAGGUGCACACUUACUUGACCUGCUAUGUCAACUACUAUCCAGAGGACAGCAGCAGUUUACACUUCUAACAGCACGGGAAGAGGAGUCCUUCCCCUGUCUCUCAACCAAUGUUCAGUAUUUGUUUGGAUUAUUUUUCACUAACAAUUUAUUACAUAUUUUGAAUUUGAAUACUAUGUCUUGAGAAAUAUCGAACAGUUUCUCUAAUCAUUUUAGUAGCUUCAACUUGGAUUUGCCUUUUUAUUGGCUUUAUGUUAACAUCAUAUCUAACCCCAUCUGCCUUUUAGGGACUGUAAAACCGCCCCAUAUUUUAUUUUCAGAUAUUCAGGAGAUGGGACAUUCAGUAGAUGAACUGGGGAAAAGCUCAGGUAUAUGCAGAUGGAGAGAAAAUACUGAGUGUUCUCAGGUAUUAUUGGGGCUUAUGUUGACAUAUGGAUUACUAUAGCAGUGCUUGGAAGGGUGAUUUAGUUGGCCAAAUGUAGAGUUGAAAGAAGAAAAUUUGGAUUCUCUGAACCUUUACUGGAACAGAAUUUUGCACUUUAGCUUUAUAUCCAAGAAGAAGCAGUGGCAAAAUUAAUAUCUGAGAUCUAUUUGUGCUUUCUGUACCGUGACUGUAUACAUGAAGAUCAUUUGGGUUCUCACUCAGAUGACUAAAUAACAGCAUUGUGGGGUACACUAUAAGUUGUAUAUAGUUCAUUCUUG
ensembl:lncRNA